rnacentral:rRNA from 1 species
GAUGAACGCUGGCGGCGUGCCUAAUACAUGCAAGUCGAGCGAACAGACGAGGAGCUUGCUCCUCUGACGUUAGCGGCGGACGGGUGAGUAACACGUGGAUAACCUACCUAUAAGACUGGGAUAACUUCGGGAAACCGGAGCUAAUACCGGAUAAUAUAUUGAACCGCAUGGUUCAAUAGUGAAAGACGGUUUUGCUGUCACUUAUAGAUGGAUCCGCGCCGCAUUAGCUAGUUGGUAAGGUAACGGCUUACCAAGGCAACGAUGCGUAGCCGACCUGAGAGGGUGAUCGGCCACACUGGAACUGAGACACGGUCCAGACUCCUACGGGAGGAAGCAGUAGGGAAUCUUCCGCAAUGGGCGAAAGCCUGACGGAGCAACGCCGCGUGAGUGAUGAAGGUCUCCGGAUCGUAAAACUCUGUUAUUAGGGAAGAACAAAUGUGUAAGUAACUAUGCACGUCUUGACGGUACCUAAUCAGAAAGCCACGGCUAACUACGUG